rnacentral:rRNA from 1 species
GAAUUACAUGCCCUUCAGUGGGGAAUAGCCCAGGGAAACUUGGAUUAAUACCCCAUGGUAUCGCGAGAUUAAAGGUGGCCGCAAGGCUGUCGCUGAAGGAUUGGUUCGCGCCCUAUCAGCUUGUUGGUGAGGUAACGGCUCACCAAGGCUACGACGGGUACCUGGUCUGAGAGGACGAUCAGGCACACUGGAACUGAGACACGGUCCAGACACCUACGGGUGGCAGCAGUCGAGAAUAAUUCACAAUGGGGGCAACCCUGAUGGUGCAACGCCGCGUGGAGGAUGAAGGUCUUCGGAUUGUAAACUCCUGUCAUCUGGGAGUAAGACCUGGCUGUGAAUAGCAGACAGGGUUGAUAGUACCAGAAGAGGAAGGGACGGCUAACUUCGUGCCAGCAGCCGCGGUAAUACGAAGGUCCCGAGCGUUGUUCGGAAUCACUGGGCGUAAAGGGAGCGUAGGCGGCGUGGUAAGUCAGAUGUGAAAUCCCGGGGCUCAGCCCCGGAACUGCAUCCGAUACUGCCGUGCUAGAGGAUUGGAGAGGUAGCUGGAAUUCUUGGU